rfam:Canis lupus familiaris chromosome 32, whole genome shotgun sequence.
GAAUGUGAGGGUGAUCUGGCUGCAACAUCUGUCACCUCACUGAUCACCAAGGUUGGUUUGGCUGAUCUGGCUGGCUAAGCAGGUGUCCUGGUCCUCCCUCACUGCUCCAUGUGUUCACCCUUCCGAAAGCUGUGUGCUCAGUCUAACACUAGGACCUUCCAUGAUAGAGGGCCAUUUUUUGGUCAUGGGUAUAGGAGUAGCUGUGUUUUCCUACUAGAACUUCCAACAAACUCUUGAGGUCUAUUUGUAGGAGAAUGUGGGUGGUCAAGCUUCCAAGACUCCAGACACAUCCAGAUGAGGUCUUGUGUAUGGCAGUCUGCCUCUUU